UAGAGUAACCAGGGCACCUGUUGAUUGGGGGCCUCACCAGCAGGAGCUCCUGGCAGCGGCUGCAGGGUGUAGCAGCACAGGACAGACGCUGGAGGUGCAGGCGCAGAGGUCCUGGGCAGGAGAAACACCUCAAGCCCGUCCUGGCACUGUGGGUGGCUGUGUGAUGGGAGGCUGAGGAGACUUCGUUUUCCUGUUGGUGUAGUGUCUGGAUUUUCUCUGCAUUUCCAGCCUAUUCACAAACCAGUGAUGACAAACCAGGCAGGUGCGGCCAGCCAGUGCGGGUCUGCCCAGGCCACUGGCCCCCGCCUCCUGGACAUUUUAGCCGGGCGUUAGUCACUCCACUGCGCGCAGGUGCACUUCUGUGCAAUGAUGGCUAUGGCCUCCAUCCAGAGGUGGCAGAAGUCUGCGCAGAGCAGGUGACGCAGGCCUCAGAGGGGACCCAGGGACCAGGUGGGGGCAGAACCAGAUCCAGCCAGCUGCGUCUCUGCCCGAGCGAUAAUUUUUAGGAGGGGGCAUUGUGGCAACAAGUGGAUUCUAUGCAUACAAUACAGAUAACGCUUUUUCAGAAAGCAUUAAAUAGCAACAUUUUCUGGGCAGACAGCCUUCCACCAAGUAGGGAAGUCAUACUCAGCUUUUAAAAUGGAAAACAGCUAUUGCAUAAUUAUCAUUUUAAUCAGAGAAUUCAGGGGAAAUGGAAGAAUCCAAUUCACAUCGAUAGCCUUAGAAUAGGCUAGGUCAUCUCUUUCCCGGAUUGUUCAAUGAGACUGAUUUCAAGACAUGGGCCAGCCGGGCAUUCCUCCCGGUACCCUGCUGCAACCUGCUCACCCUGUCUGGGUUCACUGGUGUCCUGGCAACAGCGUGGGUGCCGGGGCAGGCAUCUGGAGAUGGAGUCGGCAGAGAGCAUGGCUCUGGGCUCCGCAGACCCGGCAGGAGCCCCGGCUGCAGAGAAGGAGAUGUGGGGGAAAAAGCCUGUGCUAGUCUGGAAGUGGAGUCUGGAGCUUAGAUUAGAAAGUGUGUUGACAGAAGGAAUUCCCCACCGCAGUCCCGUUCCUGGCUGACAGUUCUCCCAGCAGCAGGAUCUGUGGGAGCGGGACUCCAGUGCACUCGGGUCCUCGGUGUCUGUCCUUCCAGGGGUAUCCAGGUCUCAGAGCACAGGUGCACACGGGUACAGUGGCUCUGUGACACAAGAGGAGGGUCACUCACAGUGGUCCCACGCACGGCGCCGACCACACAGACCCCAGAGGACACGUGGUGCUCUGGGCCUGUGACCAGCACAGCAGUUGGAGCAGGUGUGUGUCUGAGCUGGAGCUGGGCGGCCCUGCCCUGUGGCAGCGGGAAUAAGAGGAGACAAGGGGCGGGCAGGUAAUCACCGAGGAGCUCUUCCCAAGAACAGAGACGUUGCUGUUAGAAUACAAAGCUGGUCCAGGAAGGGCACAGAGGGAAUCGCGUCUCUGCUUGGCCACCCUGCCAUCCCUUUGUCCCUCUCUUACACAAACAUCGUCCAUCCCCCCGGGUGCUUCAGACUGGACCUGGUGCCCAGGGCCCCUGACCACAAACCCUAAACACACCCGGGGCUCCUCCAGCGCCGAGUCCCCCACGCUUCCUCACCCCGCUCAACACACAUCUUCAGUCUUGCACUUUUCUCUCUCUUUUUUUUUUUUUUUAAAUUUUAGAUGAAGGGAAAAUGGUUUCACUCUAUAAACCACUUCUUGUUUAGGGAUAUGUCAAAAACACAGUUAAAAUUCAUUCUCUUCUUUACAGUGAAAAUUCCAGAACAGAUGGAACACAUCUUUUCCCACUUCAGAGCGCGAGGGGGGACGAGGAGAAGCAUCCUCUGUGUCUCAGGAAGCUGCGUCAUUAGUUCGGGGUCAGGAUAAAGGGGAAGGAUGAACGCAUUUGUGUGUCAGGCUGCAGGGCACCCGCACGUGGAGAGAGUCUGCAGGCCCUCAGUCAAUCACACCGAUGUGAAAGCGAGGAUGGAAGGGGAGGGAAAUUACAUUUACCUGUGUCCUGGCUGCAGCCACGAUGGGUGCUGGGGAAAGUCAGGAGGACUCGGGAUGAGAAAGAGGCAGUAACUCCCGGUGUGUUCUGUCUGGGGGACCCAAGAAUGUCUGCACCAUCACUUCUCGGUUCUCGCUGGAUGUAGCGUGGGGCUCACUGGGGUCACACACCCUACGGGAUUUUGAAGUUUCAAAGACCUCUGGGUUUUAUUUGUCUCCUGACCUGCCCGUGUUCAUCCAGGUGUUAAUCUGCCACCAUGCCCUGCCUUGCAGCGCAGGGAAGACCGCAAGGCCGCAGCACCCUACGCCCCGGACGACCCGCCGCACAGGUGUGAGGCCAUCGCACCGCGAGGGAACGGUCACUAGGUGUCGCCGUCUUCCUCGGAAUGGAAGCCACGUUUCUCCUGCACCGUUGAAAUGGACUGGAACAAAAUUUUCUAGACUUCAAGGAAACCAUCCUUUCUAAUAACAAUGAGAUGGUAAUUAGUAGGGGAAGUGGCAUAAAAUUAUUUCACCAUUUAGUGAAACCAUGAUUCUAAACUACAGAAAAAACUGUCUUUUUUAAAGCUCAUUCAGCCGGGUGCAAACCGCCUUGCUGGCGGGCGGCACCUGAAGGUGACCUGGCCUUGUCCCCCCCUCCAUCCCCCCAGUUUCCUCUCUGUGGUGAACGUGGUUGGGGUUCACGUCUCACCCCCCAUGCAGACCCCAGCAGAUCCUGAGGGCAGCGUGUGGACCAUGUCCGAAGGGUCCAGAGGAAGAUCCCACAUGUGUAGAAUACAGACCCAUGGCCCCUGGGAGAGUGAAGGACACGCAGAUGAUUGGCAGCGGCCACUUCUCACACAAGCAACCCCUCUCUGUUUUACUGAUGAGAAAACAGAGGCUUAGAGCGAUUGUGUAACUUUCCCACAGCCAAGUUCAAACUCAAAGUGGGUUUCAAAAUUUAGGUUUGUCCGGCUCCGAGACCCGUGUUCUCUGCAGGGCACUUAGAGGACUCCUGUGCUGACCUCUCAGGCAGCCUUCUACGAAGGGACGCGGAGAAUAACAGGAAGGAUUUCCAUUUCCUUUUUCUAGGAAAAAAACAAAAGGCAAGAGGUAGGAAUUCAGAGCUAGAGUCGCUUUACAAUUCGGUUCCAUUGUCGAGACGGAGAGAUUCCACGACCAUGACAGAAAGUGAGACUAUUUAGGAUUUGCCAAAUAGGAUGUUUUCUGAACCAAUCAACAUAGAACGGAAAUGAGUUGGGACAAAUGGCAGUGCAGUGAGAGGAAAGGUGAGUCUUCCAGCAGCCCUGCCUCCCUCAUCCUGGGAGGAAACGUCCGCAGAAGCCGGGCUCCCCUGUGCCUUCCCCAGCCCUGCCUCCAGGAAGCUCUCUGAGCAUUUCCUACAGACCCUGCCCCAUGCUCUUCUCCUGCCGGUUUUCUCCACGUGGUUUUCUCCAUGUGCAGAAACGAUGAUUCGGGUCUGGCACAGUGGUUCAUGCCUGUAAUCCCAGCACUUUGGGAGGCCAAGGCAGGUGGAUCACCUGAGGUCGAGAGUUCGAGACCAGCCUGACCAACAUGGAGAAACCCGUCUCUACUAAAAAUACAAAAUUAGCCGGGCGUGGUGGUGCAUGCCUGUAAUCCCAGCUACUUGGGAGGCUUGAGGCAGGAGAAUCGCUUGAACCCGGGAGGCAGAGGUUGUGGUGAGCUGAGAUGGCACCACUGCACUCCAGCCUGAAUAACAAGAGAGAAACUCUGUCUCAAGAAAAAAAAGAUGAUUCGGAGCUGCCUGGAACAUGGAACAGCCCAGCGAGUCGCUGGCUGCAGUUCUCAGACCCAGGCUCUGCCGAUCUCAUCCCAGGCUGGAAGAGUUGCCACCAAGGCGUGUGGGUGCCAUUUGCUGCAAAAGUUCUUAUGGAGAACCAUGACACAUAACCGUGCCAGCUUCUCAUGCCGGGAGACCGCAGCGCCUCUCCACACAAGUGGGGCCUUCCUUCUGCACUUUUAUUCUGCAGUUGGGCUCCCGCUCCAGGGGGCUCCGUGUUUCUAAGAACCACAGCCCAGCAUCAUUAAAGAAGGCAUUAUUUUGUGUUUAGUAGAGCACUAAAUUGGUGAAAUAUAGUUGUGAUUCUGGUAGUGAAUAUCCCUGUUGCCACGGUAACGAUAUUAUGUCAUGGGAGGCUGUCUCGAGUGCUCCUGGGAGCAGCCAGGUCUCCGUGAGCUCCUGUUUACUCUAAAGACUCCGGCAGCCCACAUGUGUGCACGCUGAAUAAAAUCGUGCUGCGGGACCACAGUGCGGGGAGGCACCGACUCUGUCAUUCUGUCAACGCACCGCACAGUCACGAACAUCAGCAUUGACAUGAAAUGGACGGUUAGGGAGCUGCAAAGGACUCAUGCUCCUCUAUUGCACGAAUUUGUCUUUUCAUAUUCAAAGUACUUGUAAGAGCUCCAAGUUCCACGUACUCAGCCACUAACCUCAGGCAUCUGCACGGGAGACUUGGUACACAGGCUCACAUGCAUGCACGCACACAGGCACACGUACAAGCGCCCGUGUACACACAACAGUGUACACAUGCGACACACAUUCACACACAUGUGCAGAUGCACACACACAGAUCAGUGUGAGGAAGAGUCAGGGGUUCAUGGAACAGCCCCUGCUCUGCAAGCCAUGUCUGGCCGUGUAGGGGAAAGAGACAAAACAACACGCUGGUUACCUUGGAAGAGGAAAGAAAGGGAGAGACCUGCAGGUGUUGGGCGCGACACAACCCAGAGCCACCCUCGUCAAGGGACCCUCUCCCUGCUCGAUGCAUUCCUCCCACCCGACAUUCAGUGAACACAGGGAGGCUUAGUGUGAAGGACACCUGCAGUGUGUGUGUCUGUGUGUGUGAAUGUGUGUGUGUCUGUGCACAUGUGUGGUGUGUCUGUGUAAGUGUA
rnacentral:lncRNA from 1 species